rnacentral:antisense_RNA from 1 species
GGCUGGAAAUGGAAGAUGAGAGGAUGCUGGACAACCUGGGGAGAGAGGGACUUCAUGGCUGGGAGUGAGAGUGGAGGAGAAGGUGGCAUUUUGGUGGAUGGGUGGAGGAAGAGCAUAGGCACAGAUGGCCACGUGGAGUGUGGUCCACAGAUAAGUCACCUGGUGGAGUGCAGCCACAGUGCCUGAAUCAUGAGGUCUUAGCUCUUGUUUCAGGAACACAGUCAUCCCUAAGAAAUGGAUUGGGUGACAAGUGGUUUGCAUGCUGCACACGGGCACUGGGUGAGUGUGCGUGGAGCUGCUUGUCAGGACGUUAUUAGCAAUAGACAGAACACGAGGGAAGUAAUCAGUGAAGGAAGACAAAGUUGUUAAGUUGUUUCUGACUUUAUCUUUGGAGCGGGCUUACAGAACAUUUGAGUGGGCUUUUUAGUAUAAGAGAAAGAGCUCUACACUUUUGCCCAAUUCUAGUUUUAGGCUCCAAAACAAAUUUUACUGGGGUUCUGAACUGAGGGGUUAGAUUGUUUUCGUUAACUUUUAUUCUUAUAAAUAUUUUUGGCCAUUGCAGUUCAAUCAGAAGAAAAGUAGAAAGCAGGUCAUUUUUACCUUCUCUAAGAAAAGAAACCCAAAAUUUACAAGAAAGCCCAUUCUUGAAAGUCCCUUGUGCUGCUAGGCAGGGCCUGUCUAUUAUUUUCAGACAGAUGUUGAACCUUCAGAAUUUCCUCCGUGCAUCGGGGUCACUGACUACUUGUGUCUAAUGCAACUCUCUGCACCAACUAGAUUGUGCCCCGACCUGUAUUUUCACUUUAGAAACCUCAUAUUCCAACGUUGCUCAAGGUCGACUGUCACUGACCGGGCUUUUCUUUACGACUGUACUUAUGAAGAACAAAUGUACUUGUAGAUGUUUGGGGACUUCAAGUUUAGUUUACAAAUGUGUAUGUCCUCAUUUGAGAUUUGAUUUGUAUUAUAUUUAGGCAAGUUUUCUGGCUCUUAAUGGGAUCCUAAUGAGUCACCAAUGGUAAGGCUUCAGAUUCAGACCUUCCUGUUAGGAUGGGGAUGAGCUGUUUUUCCUCAUUUGCCAAUUAUUUGGAAGAGAAAACCAAUGUAAUGCAAUCAGAAUCCAGUUGUAUUAUUAAGACCUGCAUUUGAAACCUAGUUUCUUCUAUCGGAAGUAAUUUUUCUGAUUUUUGGAUUAUGUUACUUCUCCUUCAUAUAAAUGAAUGUUACUGCUUGUGUGGUGUUACCACACCUAGCUUAUAGAAAUAAAUGACAGGCCACCUGGGGGUCUGCCCGUGCAAGCAUGAACUAAGCAGCAACAAGCAGUACGCCCUGCGGUGACCAGUGUGUCAGCAUUCACAUAAGCCCAGGACAGUGAAUGCGGGCCCUUGUCAGUCAUGGGCAUCAGGCGCAUGGCACUGGGCACAGCUGACUGCCUGUUGAUGCUGACGGCUGGAUGGCUGCAUUUAAGUACACUUUCACAAAACUCAUUUGUAGCUCUUCCUGAAGAAACCUAAAUGGAAUUAGUUUGUUGGAGGGCCGCAAUGUAACAUUUUAAAAUAGAGAACAAAAUGGUGUAUGUUGCUGUUUCAUGGAAAAGAGAACAUGGGAGAAACUAGCAAUCUGUAAGCUAAAAAUUGAUGGCAGCCCCUGCCACAAUGAAUAAUUGGCAAUGCCAUUCAGCCUUUAAAGGCAUCAGAUAAUGAAUAAGCAGGGCAUAAGGCAUCUAGUUCCCUUCCAUUAUUCUCCAAUAGGUUAUGUAAUAAAUAUCCAUCCCUGAUAGAU